AACUCAAUGAGCUGCUAAGGGGCCAGGACAGGGGCCACACAGAGCACAGACUGGACCCAAUAUAAGCAUACCGACAUAAAGGCACUGACUGGGGCCACAGAUUAUUUACUGGGAUCUAAACCGGACUCUUAUUUGUCACAAGAAGCACAGACAUGAGCCAGCAUUGGGGACAGCAGGAGCUGUGAAUCAAUAACAUAAUCUGUCAUUGAGGGAAAUGGCUCACAGACUGUUAAUCGGGUUCGACACUUUAGACAUAUAUUCCCAAGAGAUAAUGAAGAAACAUGCAAAGAAAGCUAAUUUGAGCUACAUGCAGCUGAUCCAUUCUCUGAAAAUCCCCCUCUUGUUUGAUUUUGAAUCGGAUGAUACAAGUGAUCAUGAAGCAGAUCGUUUUAAGAGGUCAUCUGAUAUCCAGGAAGAUAAGCAAAAUAUCACGCAGA